UACGGAGGGUGCAAGCGUUAAUCGGAAUUACUGGGCGUAAAGCGCGCGUAGGCGGCGUGAUAAGCCGGAUGUGAAAGCCCCGGGCUCAACCUGGGAACGGCAUUCGAAACUGUCAGGCUAGAGUACAGGAGAGGAAGGUAGAAUUCCCCGUGUAGCGGUGAAAUGCGUAGAGAUCGGGAGGAAUACCAGUGGCGAAGGCGGCCUUCUGGACUGACACUGACGCUGAGGUGCGAAAGCGUGGGUAGCAAACAGG
rnacentral:misc_RNA from 1 species